rnacentral:rRNA from 1 species
UACGUAGGGCGCAAGCGUUAUCCGGAAUUAUUGGGCGUAAAGAGCUCGUAGGCGGUUUGUCGCGUCUGCCGUGAAAGUCCGGGGGCUCAACUCCGGAUCUGCGGUGGGUACGGGCAGACUAGAAUGAUGUAGGGGGAGACUGGAAUUCCUGGUGUAGCGGUGAAAUGCGCAGAUAUCAGGAGGAACACCGAUGGCGAAGGCAGGUCUCUGGGCAUUAACUGACGCUGAGGAGCGAAAGCAUGGGGAGCGAACAGG